AACGAACGCUGGCGGCAGGCUUAACACAUGCAAGUCGAACGGCAGCACGGGAGCAAUCCUGGUGGCGAGUGGCGAACGGGUGAGUAAAGUAUCGGAACGUGCCCAGUCGUGGGGGAUAACGUAGCGAAAGUUACGCUAAUACCGCAUACGAUCUAUGGAUGAAAGCGGGGGAUCGCAAGACCUCGCGCGAUUGGAGCGGCCGACAUCAGAUUAGGUAGUUGGUGGGGUAAAGGCUCACCAAGCCGACGAUCUGUAGCUGGUCUGAGAGGACGACCAGCCACACUGGGACUGAGACACGGCCCAGACUCCUACGGGAGGCAGCAGUGGGGAAUUUUGGACAAUGGGCGCAAGCCUGAUCCAGCCAUGCCGCGUGCAGGAUGAAGGCCUUCGGGUUGUAAACUGCUUUUGUACGGAACGAAAAGGUUUGACUUAAUACGUUGGACUCAUGACGGUACCGUAAGAAUAAGCACCGGCUAACUACGUGCCAGCAGCCGCGGUAA
rnacentral:rRNA from 1 species